CUCAGAGCUCCACGAGGCUGCUCCUGAAGAUAAAGGAAGAGGCUUCUUACAAUAAAAGAGGUCACUACAACCCUAGAGGAAUGGGUUCUUAUGAAGUCCUGAGGAUCCAGCGACUUUAAUCCAUCUGCUUAUGGUGGAGUUGGAGAGCGGCGCAUGAAGAAACACACUGGACAUGAGGAACGCUGUCGGGAGACUUUUUAUUUACUUUUCUCUACAUAGCCACAACAUCUGAGCACCCUUUGAUGCCCGAAUAAACACGCAGACAGCCAGGAACAAAGAUGGGCAAGUGGAUGCCUGGAUGACCCAAACAAGUGAGCGGACCGAUAUGCUGUCGCUCGGAUGGUUGCCCACCGGGACUGACACUAGAUCGGACCGGAAACGGUGCAAAUGCCAUUGCACUGCACCCCGUACAGCGUUUCCACAAGUUCCGGUGUGCGCCACAUGUGCCAGAACUCCUCCUCCGCUGGAAGG